AUGCUGACGGAGUGGCGAACGGGUGAGUAAUACAUCGGAACGUGCCCGAUCGUGGGGGACAACGAGGCGAAAGCUUUGCUAAUACCGCAUACGAUCUACGGAUGAAAGCGGGGGAUCUUCGGACCUCGCGCGGACGGAGCGGCCGAUGGCAGAUUAGGUAGUUGGUGGGAUAAAAGCUUACCAAGCCGACGAUCUGUAGCUGGUCUGAGAGGAUGAUCAGCCACACUGGGACUGAGACACGGCCCAGACUCCUACGGGAGGCAGCAGUGGGGAAUUUUGGACAAUGGGCGAAAGCCUGAUCCAGCCAUGCCGCGUGCAGGAUGAAGGCCUUCGGGUUGUAAACUGCUUUUUGUACGGAACGAAAACCUCUUUCUUAUAAAAGAGGGGUCAUGACGGUACCGUAAGAAUAAA
rnacentral:rRNA from 1 species